AUUUCUACAUCAUGCUAAUUAUCUUUGAGUAAAUAUCUGCAGGUUGCUUUUGCUAGAGCCAAACAAAUAUCCAACCCUUUGUCCACUGGUGCAAUUCUUUGUGGGCACAAACAAAUGACCGAGGACGUUAUAUCUGUUCUCACCACAAAUGGAGUCUCAAGAGACAAGAUAUUGAUGAACUUCUAAUUAUGACUGUUAUGCAUGCAGUCUUAUGUGUUGUGUAGCAUUUUCAACAAACAAUUGGAAUCUAAUUCUUUCAUUUUCUUGUGUGGAAGAUAAAGCAUUUCUGAUUUUGAUAAAUGCCAUCUACCUUGGGAUCAUUGUUCGGAAAAGAAUAAGAAAUAAAAAAGAUCCUUCAUUUUGGGGCUC